UGCGGUUAGACAGAUAAUAUAAUUUAAUUUUAUUAAUGUUAAUUAAUUUUUGAUUUAAAUUUUAAUUUAAAUUUUAUUAAGUGGAAUUUUAAAAUUUAGAAAAAAUUAUUUUGUUUAAUGAAGUUAAGAAAUUUAGUUAGUAGACUAGGAUUAGAUACCCUAUUAUUAUAAAUGUGAUUUAAUCAUUUAAUUAUUAAAAGUUAUGGUCUUUAAAAUUAAUAAUUUUGGCGGUAUUUUAGUCUUUUCAGAGGAACCUGUUUUAUAAAUGAUAGUCCACGAUUAGUAUUACUUUAUUUAUUAGUUUGUAUAUCGUCGUUUUUAAAUAUUUUUUUAGGAUUAAAAUAUUUAGGAUUUUUUAUUAAAAAAUUAAUCAGAUCAAGGUGCAGUUUAUAUUAAAGUAAAAAUGGGUUACAAUAAAUUUAUUUUUGGAUGAUUAAAUUUAUAUUAAUUUGAAAUUGGAUUUGAGAGUAAUUUAAUUUAUUUUUUAUUUUGAUUUUAGCUCUAAAAUAUGC
rnacentral:rRNA from 1 species